rnacentral:lncRNA from 1 species
GAUUUCGGUUAGCUUGUACGGGUAUUACUUUUGGGUUAUUCGGUUAAACCGAAUAACCGAAUAACACUUUACUAAAUUGAAGAUACGUUGCGUCUCAGACUCUCACUCUCUCAAGUCUCAGCCGUCCAUUUAAUUUAGACUACUGCAGUGAGUGCUCGGUCCUUCACUCCUUCUCCACUCCAGUUCUCCUUCACGUCCUUACUUAGUUACUCUUUACCUUAGACUCGAACUCUCAGACCUCAGUAUUCUCUCUGUCUCUCAGUCCUCACCUCAGAUCAGAUCUCUGAUCUCUCUCAUCUCAAGACUCAAGUCUCGACUGUCUCGUCGUCUUCUCGAACUCUCAGUCUCAGAGUCUCAGAUCUGAGAUCUCUCAAGCCUCAAGUGUCGAACUCUCGAACUCUCGACGCCGGCGACCCUUCAUCGUUCAUCGCGAACUCUUAGAUCUCGGCGCCGGCGACAACUUUCUAUUUGUUAAGGUAAUUUUUUUAUUUACCUUUACUAAAUUCUCGAAGACCGAUUGCUUUUUAGUGCAUCUUUUUAGUGUAAUUAUUUUUAUGUAAUUGUGUCUGUUGCAUGUGUAAUUUCUGAGGUUUUGAAAAGAACUGAUUUGGCUUUAAUUUUGCUCUAUUUUGAUGGGUACCCAUUUCAUUGUUCUUACAAAAUAAGAUGUAGUAAUAUGCUAAUGUUUGUAUAUGUAAAUUUAAGAAUUUUGGGUAAUCGGGUAAUUCUAAAUUUGUUUGUUGAAAUCCUCAAUUUGUAAAAAAAAUUCAAAAACUGAUGUGGGUUUUUUGUUACUAGUUAUUUGGUCAUGAGAAUGCAUUCAUUGAGUUGCCUCGAAAUUGUUCAGUGGAUGUUGUCCAGUAUUUUGUAUAUAUGAAUAUCUGGUUACUUUUUAGAACCUAGGGAUUUGUAUGAACUGAGUUACUAAAUGAGCAAUGUGGGAUGAUAUAAACAGAGAGAGUACUAAUUGGUUAAUAUAUGACUGCAAGUUUAAUCUAUGCCUGUGAUUUGAUCCAUUAAUUGGUUAAGAGACCAAACAAACUAUAAUAUAUAUAUAUAUAUAUAUAUAUAUAUAUAUAUCCUGUUUAUGUUUAUUUUGGUGCUGCAAGUUUAAUUUUGGUCCUGUUAUGUUAUGCAAGUUCAAUUUUAUAUCAUAGUUACAUCCCCCUAGUCCCACUACUUGUUGUAAUUUGAUUCUUAAUUUGCUUGGCCUUAAUGUGGUGAAUGCUGCUACAAGUUUCAUAUCAACCUAAGUUUUCUUUUAGGGUCUUGGAUACCACUAUAUCCAGCUGGUUUAUAAUUUUUUGUAUUGUGUGUUGAUUAAAGUAAAGAAUUCUUCUUUUUGUACUAGUUGUGACUGUGAUAACUAAGAAGUCAGGUUAGCAGCAGUUGUUGCCAUAUGCUAAUGUGUUGGCUAAAAUAAUACUAUAUAUCUCUUGGAAUCGAGUUUGAAUCUUUCUUUGUUUUCUUUCCAGUAUAGCAGUAAAGACAAACUCANNNNNNNNNNNNNNNNNNNNNNNNNNNNNNNNNNNNNNNNNNNNNNNNNNNNNNNNNNNNNNNNNNNNNNNNNNNNNNNNNNNNNNNNNNNNNNNNNNNNGCCCACUCUCUGAACAAACAAAGCACACUUGACACUAGUCACACUACACUACUACAGAUCUACUUUACUCCCUCAGAUCUCGAACUCUCUCAGAUCCAGACGACCAGACGCCCAGACCCAUAUCUCGAUUUCUAUCAUUGGUCGACGCCGGCGGCCAAUCGGCCAUCGCCUCGGUCCUUCAUCUCGAUCUCUCAAUCUCUCAAGUCUCAAGAGUCAAGCAAGUCUCAUCCCGUCAUUCGGUUACCGGUACGAAUUUUCCUUUAACUUUGAUUCUUUGACUGUGAUAAUAGACUUGGACAUUAAUUGGUUUAAUCUAUGCCUGUGAUUUGAUCCAUUAAUUGGUUAAUAUAUAUGACUGCAAGUUUAAUCUAUGCCUGUGAUUUGAUCCAUUAAUCGGUUAAGAGACCAAACAAACUAUAUAUAAUAUAUAUAUAUAUAUAUAUAUAUAUAUAUAUCCUGUUUAUGUUUAUUUUGGUGCUGCAAGUUUAAUUUUGGUCCUGUUAUGUUAUGCAAGUUCAAUUUUAUAUCAUAGUUACAUCCCCCUAGUCCCACUACUUGUUGUAAUUUGAUUCUUAAUUUGCUUGGCCUUAAUGUGGUGAAUGCUGCUACAAGUUUCAUAUCAACCUAAGUUUUCUUUUAGGGUCUUGGAUACCACUAUAUCCAGCUGGUUUAUAAUUUUUUGUAUUGUGUGUUGAUUAAAGUAAAGAAUUCUUCUUUUUGUACUAGUUGUGACUGUGAUAACUAAGAAGUCAGGUUAGCAGCAGUUGUUGCCAUAUGCUAAUGUGUUGGCUAAAAUAAUACUAUAUAUCUCUUGGAAUCGAGUUUGAAUCUUUCUUUGUUUUCUUUCCAGUAUAGCAGUAAAGACAAACUCAACAACAACAAACUCAACAGCAGCAGCAGCAGCAAAUGCUCAACAGCAGGAACACUUUGCUCAACACUCAACAACAGCAUUAUGUUUAUGGAUUAUGUUUAUGGUGUUAAUUGUUAAACUGUUAAUCAUGUAGGAACAUUAUGUUUCAUGUUUGUGUAAUAUGUAGUUGACUGUCAUUCAUGUUUGCUGGCUUGCUGCUGAUUGAGUCUUUUGUAAUAUGUAGGCUACAUAAUGUAGUUGAAUAGUACCUGUUCAAUUCACUGGACUGCAGCACUGCUGCUAAUUGUCUUUUAAAUUUGGUUAUUAACCGAAUAACGUAUUCGGUUAUUCGGUUAUUUCAUAUUUCGGUUAGUUGUUCGGAUAGCUAAAACAGGGUAGUUUCGGUUUUCGGAUAUAACCGAAAUCCUUAUUCGGUUCAGUUAUUAUCCGAAUGCUCACCCCUAAUGCUCCCCCGGGCAGGCUUACCACACUUUGCGCGGGUUACAUUUUCGGUAGAAUGAAACCCUAAAAAUAAAAAGAAAAAAGUUUGCCAGGCCAAUCCCACCCAAUAAUUUUAUAAUUUGGAGGAUUCGAGUUAUAUAGGCAGUGCUGGG